rnacentral:rRNA from 1 species
GAUGAACGCUGGCGGCGUGCCUAAUACAUGCAAGUCGAGCGAACAGACCAUAAUCUUGCUGCUCUGUUGUUAGCGGCGGACGUGUGAGUAACACGUGUAUCACCUACCUAUAAUACUGGGAUAACUUCGAGAAACCGUAUCUUAUACCGUAUAAUCUUUUGAACCGCGUUGUUCAAUGGUGAAAUUCGGUCUUUCUGUCUCUUAUCGAUGGUUCUGCGCUGCAUUAGCUGGUUGUUAAGGUAACGGCUUAACAAGGCAACGAUGCAUAGCCGAACUGAGAGGGUGAUCGGCCACACUGGAACUGAGACACGGACAAGACUCCUACGGGAGGCAGCAGUAGGGAAUCUUACGCAAUGGGCGAAAGCCUGACGGAGCAACGCCGCGUGAGUGAUGAAGGUCUUCGGAUCGUAAAACUCUGUUAUUAGGGAAGAACAUAUGUGUAAGUAACUGUGCACAUCUUGACGGUACCUAAUCAGAAAGCCACGGCUAACUACGUG